rnacentral:rRNA from 1 species
UACGUAGGCAGCGAGCGUUGUUCGGAGUUACUGGGCGUAAAGGGUGUGUAGGUGGUUGUUUAAGUUUGGUGUGAAAUCUCCCGGCUCAACUGGGAGGGUGCGCCGAAUACUGAAUGACUAGAGUGCGGGAGAGGAAAGUGGAAUUCCUGGUGUAGCGGUGAAAUGCGUAGAUAUCAGGAAGAACACCUAUGGCGAAGGCAGCUCUCUGGGACGGUACUGACGCUGAGACGCGAAAGCGUGGGGAGCGAACAGG